rnacentral:misc_RNA from 1 species
GAAAUGCGAUAACUAGUGUGAAUUGCAGAAUUCCGUGAAUCGUCGAGUCUUUGAACGCACAUUGCGCCCCCUGGUAUUCCGGGGGGCAUGCCUGUCCGAGCGUCAUUGCUGCCCAUCAAGCACGGCUUGUGUGUUGGGUCGUCGUCCCCUCUCCGGGGGGGACGGGCCCCAAAGGCAGCGGCGGCACCGCGUCCGAUCCUCGAGCGUAUGGGGCUUUGUCACCCGCUCUGUAGGCCCGGCCGGCGCUUGCCGAACGCAAAUCAAUCUUUUUCCAGGUUGACCUCGGAUCAGGUAGGGAUACCCGCUGAACUUAAGC